ACCCGCUGGAAUUAAGCAUAUCAAUAAGCGGAGGAGAAGAAACUAACCAGGAUUCCCUCAGUAACGGCGAGUGAAGAGGGAUGAGCCCAGCACCGAAGCCUGCGGCAGGUUUGCUGUUAGGCAAUGUGGUGUGCGGGUCGGCUGGCGGGACCGCCGCUCCACUCGAAGUCCAGCAUUGAGUAUGGUGAUGAUGGAGGUAGAUGAUGGCCCACAGAGGGUGAGAGGCCCGUAGGAGUGGAGUGGUCCAGGCGUGUGAGGCGGUUCACCAGGUCGGCCUAAGAGUCGGGUUGUUUGAGAUUGCAGCCCAAAGUGGGUGGUAAACUCCAUCCAAGGCUAAAUACAAGCACGAGUCCGAUAGCGUACUCGG
rnacentral:rRNA from 1 species